rnacentral:rRNA from 1 species
GAUGAACGCUGGCGGCGUGCCUAAUACAUGCAAGUCGAGCGAACGGACGAGAAGCUUGCUCCUCUGAUGUUAGCGGCGGACGGGUGAGUAACACGUGGAUAACCUACCUAUAAGACUGGGAUAACUUCGGGAAACCGUAGCUAAUACCGGAUAAUAUAUUGAACCGCAUGGUUCAAUAGUGAAAGACGGUUUUGCUGUCACUUAUAGAUGGAUCCGCGCUGCAUUAGCUAGUUGGUAAGGUAACGGCUUACCAAGGCAACGAUGCAUAGCCGACCUGAGAGGGGGAUCGGCCACACUGGAACUGAGACACGGUCCAGACUCCUACGGGAGGCAGCAGUAGGGAAUCUUCCGCAAUGGGCGAAAGCCUGACGGAGCAACGCCGCGUGAGUGAUGAAGGUCUUCGGAUCGUAAAACUCUGUUAUUAGGGAAGAACAUAUGUGUAAGUAACUGUGCACAUCUUGACGGUACCUAAUCAGAAAGCCACGGCUAACUACGUG